CCUACGGGAGGCAGCAGUGGGGAAUUUUGGACAAUGGGCGCAAGCCUGAUCCAGCCAUGCCGCGUGCGGGAAGAAGGCCUUCGGGUUGUAAACCGCUUUUGUCAGGGAAGAAAUCCUUUGAGUUAAUACCUCGGAGGGAUGACGGUACCUGAAGAAUAAGCACCGGCUAACUACGUGCCAGCAGCCGCGGUAAUACGUAGGGUGCGAGCGUUAAUCGGAAUUACUGGGCGUAAAGCGUGCGCAGGCGGUCUUGCAAGACAGAUGUGAAAUCCCCGGGCUCAACCUGGGAACUGCAUUUGUGACUGCAAGGCUAGAGUACGGUAGAGGGGGAUGGAAUUCCGCGUGUAGCAGUGAAAUGCGUAGAUAUGCGGAGGAACACCGAUGGCGAAGGCAAUCCCCUGGACCUGUACUGACGCUCAUGCACGAAAGCGUGGGGAGCAAACAGGAUUAGAUACCCUGGUAGUCCACGCCCUAAACGAUGUCAACUGGUUGUUGGACGGCUUGCUGUUCAGUAACGAAGCUAACGCGUGAAGUUGACCGCCUGGGGAGUAACGGCCGCAAGGUUGAAACUUAAAGGAAAUUGACGGCGNGNGAGNGCGAGACGACGACGAGGGAGAGG
rnacentral:rRNA from 1 species